rnacentral:rRNA from 1 species
AGAACGAACGCUGGCGGCAGGCCUAACACAUGCAAGUCGAACGCCGUAGCAAUACGGAGUGGCAGACGGGUGAGUAACGCGUGGGAACGUACCUUUCGGUUCGGAAUAACCCGGGGAAACUCGGGCUAAUACCGGAUACGUCCUGCCCCUUAAUCGGGAUGGGAGAAAGAUUUAUCGCCAUUGGAUGGGCCCGCGUCGGAUUAGCUAGUUGGUGAGGUAACGGCUCACCAAGGCAACGAUCCGUAGCUGGUCUGAGAGGAUGAUCAGCCACACUGGGACUGAGACACGGCCCAGACUCCUACGGGAGGCAGCAGUGGGGAAUAUUGGACAAUGGGCGCAAGCCUGAUCCAGCCAUGCCGCGUGAGUGACGAAGGUCUUCGGAUUGUAAAACUCUUUUUGGCGGGGACGAUAAUGACGGUACCCGCAGAAUAAGCCCCGGCUAACUUCGUGCCAGCAGCCGC